rnacentral:rRNA from 1 species
UGGGGGAAUAUUGGGCAAUGGGGGGCAACCCUGACCCAGCAACGCCGCGUGAAGGAAGAAGGCUUUCGGGUUGUAAACUUCUUUGACCAGGGACGAAAGAAAUGACGGUACCUGGAAAACAAGCCACGGCUAACUACGUGCC